UGGUGGAGUGAUUUGUCUGGUUAAUUUCGAUAACGAGCGAGACCUCAGCCUACUAAUUAGAUGUGAGAAUCUUCGGAUUCUUGGGGAAACAUCUUCUUAGAGGGACUAUCGGUGCGUAGCCGAUGGAAGGUUGAGGCAAUAACA
rnacentral:rRNA from 1 species